UACGAAGGGGGGCUAGCGUUGUUCGGAAUGACUGGGCGUAAAGGGCGCGUAGGCGGAUUGCUUUGUCAGACGUGAAAUUCCAGGGCUCAACCUUGGGGCUGCGUUUGAGACGGGUGAUCUUGAGUUCGGAAGAGGGUCGUGGAAUUCCCAGUGUAGAGGUGAAAUUCGUAGAUAUUGGGAAGAACACCGGUGGCGAAAGCGGCUCACUGGACCAUAACUGACGCUGAGGCGCGAAAGCUAGGGGAGCAAACAGG
rnacentral:rRNA from 1 species